rnacentral:rRNA from 1 species
CACGUAGGGGGCGAGCGUUGUCCGGAUUUAUUGGGCGUAAAGAGCUCGUAGGUGGUUCGAUAAGUCGGGUGUGAAACCUCCAGGCUCAACCUGGAGACGCCACCCGAUACUGUCGUGACUAGAGUCCAGUAGGGGAGCGUGGAAUUCCUGGUGUAGCGGUGAAAUGCGCAGAUAUCAGGAGGAACACCAGCGGCGAAGGCGGCGCUCUGGGCUGGCACUGACACUGAGGAGCGAAAGCGUGGGGAGCGAACAG